rnacentral:rRNA from 1 species
ACAUUGGGACUGAGACACGGCCCAGACUCCUACGGGAGGCAGCAGUGGGGAAUAUUGCACAAUGGGGGAAACCCUGAUGCAGCAACACGCCGCGUGAGUGAUGACGGCCUUCGGAUUGUAAACUCUGUCUUUGGGGACGAUAAUGACGGUACCCAAGGAGGAAGCCACGGCUAACUA